AUGCUAUGCUUCAUGAGGCCAAGGAUGUACUCUUUAAUAAGGAAUUAUUAAAGAGCUCUAAAUGUGUUUAGACAAGGAUAAAUCAAACAAGAAAAAUAGUCAUUCAACAAUUCUUUUAAGAAUAUGUAUUGGCCAUAUAUUUAUGUGCAGGCUGUUUGCCAACUGCUGGGAAUAUAUCCACAAACAUAGCAGGCAAUGCUUCUUCCUACAUGGAACUCAUAUUUUAUAUGGAGAUACCAAAUAUCAAAUCAGCAACAAGUAAGACAACUACAGACUGCAAAAAAACUCUGAAUGAGACAUCAAAAUAAGGGCCAGAUAAAGGCGGAAGUCCUUUGUCUGAAACUGCCCAGGCCUGGCCAGCUGUGAUGAAAACUGUCUGAUGUUUCACAGGCUUUUUGUCUGGCCCCAAGCUGGUAUUUGCCUCUUUUAGUUUUGGAGGUUUUAAAGGAACAUCGCGUUCUAGCACACAAUGUCACAAUAGUAUCCUGCGCAGGUGAAGAAAACAACCAGGAUGAGAGCUGUCUUCAGGAUCUGGGUUCUCACUUCAAGGGCCAGCCUUGGCAGCCUCGCCUUCUCUGAGUAGGAAUGAUGGAAGAGGGCAGGCAGUACAUGCAGGGGGCAGUGAACACAACCAAAGAAGGAAGAAGAAGGAAUGUAAACUGUCAAGGGGGCAUUUUUCUUUUCCUUCACCUUCCUUUUUUUUUAGUAAAGAAAAGAAGAAAUCUAUCAGGCAGCUUGAGUAUCAAUAUCUCAAUCUCUUUGGAUCUGCUGUUAUGUUCACUCAUAUUCAGGAAAGUCACACAUAUCGUUUUUCAAAAGACAUAGGAGAGAAAAUAUUGUAAACUGACAACCCUUUCAGGAAAUCCACGUCAGACUUGAAAUUUAAGAUAAAUUGAAGUGGAGACUUAAUUCUCCAGUGGAUUUCGAUUUGAAUACUAAGGUUCUUCAAAACUAUUUUUCUCUAUAGUCAAUUUGAGCAUAUGAAAAAUAAGAAGAAUGGGUCGAAGAUCUCUUUAUUUAACACUUUGGACCACUGCAGAAAAUAUUCAGGCAAAAAAUAGUGGGAGAUAAAGUGAAUUUCAUCUCCAUCUCCUCCAUCAGGUGGGUCCUUCUGUGAAUAUUGUAACUGUAUCUGAUGGGAAGAAUACUCUGGAACCCUGGAAGAAAUAGAGUUAGGAUCUCCACAGCAACAACUACUCUAUGCAAAUGAAAAUGGAAUCUACCUCAUUUCCCAAUACCCUUUGUGUACUGGAUGCCUCGUUUUUCUAGAUAAAGUGUAUCAAUUCUCCAUUUUACUUUUACAUAUAAAAACACUCAAUACUUUAAAAAAUUGAAGCAGAAGAGACUAACUUUGAAAUUUUCUCAUGAAAACUGACCUUUUCUUCUUACUCUUUAUUGAAAAAACAGCUUUGGGUCUUUCAGUUGCUAGAACACACAGGAUGAAGGGGUCAAGGAAGGAGGAAGGGAGAAGAUCAUCACCUACACAGCUUCUUGGCACGGGGAAGAGGACAUUUAUUUCACUUUCAUGAGGACCAAACUUUAAGCUGGUUUUCCAACCCAUUAAGGCCCUCCACAAGUCAAGUGUUCGACUGCUGGAAAUGAAGAAGUAGAGCUUUGGUUUACAUAUGUUGACAUGAACAACUCAGUUGCACCCGUUGUGAGAGUAACGGCUCAGCUCAUGAUGAGUGAACAGGUCAUCCAACAAGCAAUAGAAAAUACAGAAAUGGACCUUCUUUGGGAGCAGGGUAGCAAGGUGCUGACAGCUUAAUGAAUGAUUUGUCUGUUAUGACAGUAGGACACCUUGCAAUGCCAAGAGCAAAUAUUUGAAAGAAUAUGCAAUGCAGGAAAUGUAUGUAUGUUCUAUAUAUAGGACACUUAGAUUGCCUGUAUCACUAACAGAUGGACAGAGUUUGAGAAAUCUUAUUUUAUAAUGUGCAACAUCACUCCUGUCAGAUACACUUUGAAAUUUGGGGAUUAAUGGAGCAUGACACUCAGAGUAAAAUGGGAAUUCCAUUGUAUGUACUGAGAGAUUGGGGGCUUUACGGGUAGAGACGCUCAGCAAAGACUAUUGCAUGUAUUCUUUACAGGUGUAAUUCUGAUUUCACUUAUAAUUUAAUAACAAACAGCUCCAGGCCUGUGUCAGAUGGAAUAAGUAACUAGAUAAUUUUGCGAGAUGCUUUUGGAUAAAAUCAAAUAGUAAAACUAGGGUUGAAAAGCCAAGUGAUCAGAUGAAUAAGAAGUUUACUUUUCCUCUCUGAACUGAGAGAUCACCUACAUCAGUGUUGAAGAGCAAUAAGAUGGGUUAGCUUGAAAAAAAUAUAUAUUAUUUAUAAAGGAACUCACUUUGGAGUUUUGACUCAAUAAUUUUAAUUAAAUAAUCUUAGAUGACUGACUGAUAGAUGGUUAACAAAUAGAUUCUGACACUCUCAUCCACUCUUGUAUGCACUCUUAUAAAUACAUUUGUUACUUGUAACAAAUAAGCAUGUAGACAAAGAAUUAGACACGCCAAUAAUUAUAGAUUGAUGACCAUUUUACAGUCUCAUGGGUCAAAAUUGUAUGUACUGUAGACUAGAGAUUAUUUCCUAUUAAAGAAGCAAAGAAGGGGGUGGGUGACUUAUAAGUAUUGUGGGAAACCCCAAGAUAUCCAUACUACUAAAAUUUCACUAAAGCUAUCUCAUUAGCCAGAUUAUACCAUAAAGAAGUCUCCCUUCUUCUCAUCACUGCAUGCAUGCCCAUUCGUCAUUCAUCAGUUUUUACUGGCAGAUGGCUAGGAACCAGGUGCUCUGCUGCCUGUCCCGGUGAAUGGCACGCUGCCUUCAGAAAUGCUCUGUGUCAAAACCCUAAGAGUAAAAGUCUACAGAUUACUGUUCUUAGCUUUCCCUCCAUUCUCUGGCAACUCUCCCAACAACAUGGGCUUCUGAGAGCUUUGCUGUGGAGGCAUUCCUUCCAGCCACAUAACAAUUCUAUAGAAAGAAAGAAGGGUCCCAGCCAGUAAGAACUCAUAAGAAGCUGGCAAAAUACAGGCUUCCCACAGCUGUUAGGUAUGCUUUCUCUGUGCAGCCAGGUCUCGACAUCUGGUGCAAACUACUUGACUGAGACAAGAGAAAGAGAUCUGGUUUUCAAAUCAUCAGGGCACCAACACUUGGCCUCAUAAAUUGAUCCAGUUAGAUAAGGGAAUCUCAACACCAAUGAAACACACGAUGACAUGUUGCAAAAUAAUAGGUACUAUUGCUUAGGCUAAGUGGCCUCCUAAAUGUUUAUUUUCAAGUCAAUUUUUUAAAAUAUAUGCCUUAAGUAAACUGUUUAUAAAACUGAGCACAUAAUUAAGCAUAAAAAGAAAUUUAUGUGUAAAAUUUGGUCCCGCCUUUUUUUACUGUGAUCUUCAUCUUUCUGCAAGAAACAGCUCUGCCACUGCACUAUCUCAGAGCUCCCACACUGGAGCCAUCCCAGACCCUUACACUCUCCCUGGUGGUUUACCUGAUCAGUUAAAUAACAUUGUCCACUGCAUAUGAAUAUGGCUUCUCAAGUGCAUUCCUUCAUUUCCACUCUCUCUGCUUUUAUUCCAGGUCAGGUCUUCAUAA